AGGCUCGCUGCAGUGCAUUCAGGGACAGCGCUUGUCGUAGAGGACAUGCUGACGAGUGUCGAUCAAUAACAACUCCCAAGCUUGAACAUCCGUCCCGUCAGGGAACUGAGGAAUUCCUUAUUCUAUGUCCAUGCAAGAGGUUGAUUCCCUUGAAAACCAUCUCAUUCACUCUGCGUAACUUAAUCUGCUCAAAACGGGGUGACACGAGCGGUGGACAGACAGCCGAGCAGUCAGCCAUCAAUAAUAGAGGGCUCCAUCCCCUUCGCUUUGAAAAAUACAUGAGGAUGAACCACAGGCUGGGCAGGUAUGCGUUUCCUGAGGAAUUCUCACAGUAACCUUCUCUAUUGGAGAUGAAUUUGGGCCCAUGAAGCGAGGUCAUGGAUUGAUGCAUUGAUCAAGAAAUCCAGACGUCUCUUUAGAGUUCCACCUCGGGAUUAUUAGCAACUGGAACAGAAACUCAAUAUGGGCUGGAAUGGGGAAAAAAAAGAAUGCAACUAUGGCCGGAGAAGAGCACAUCCAUUCCCAGUUAGCCCCAUGCAAGCCUUUCGUGACAUUUCAAAGUGGAUGAUGAAAUCUUGAGUGACAGCAGAACACUGAAUUCAAAGGACAUUUAAGCAGCCCAUUUUUCGGUUCCCUACUGGCCGCUGGAUCGGAUCUCGUCUCGGCGAUAAAGAGCAGAGAGAAUUUGCAAAAUAAAACAGGGGGGGAGCUUUUGUCCCCCGGGUCCCAAUUAAAACUUCCUUUGGCGAAUUGAAGGCUUUUUAUCCCCACCCACCACCACCACAUUGCCUAAUAAACUACAGGAAAGAAAUAACAAAAGCCAGCUAUCAGAAGUUACAAGCCAAGUGGAAGUGGACAGUUUCGGCCGGAAGACGUGGAGUGCAAAUAAGCUAUUAGUCACGCAUCAGUCCGAGAAUUAUGGAAUAAUUUUAAAUGUUCAAAUGAUGUCUUUAA